rnacentral:rRNA from 1 species
AACGCGAAGAACCUUACCUAGGUUUGACAUGGCGCUGCACGAGGUCGAAAGGCUGAGGGUCGCAAGACAGCGUCACAGGUGCUGCAUGGCUGUCGUCAGCUCGUGCCGUGAGGUGUUAGGUUAAGUCCUGUAACGAGCGCAACCCCUAGGUUCAGUUACAAGUGUCUGGACCGACUGCCCGUGACAAGCGGGAGGAAGGUGGGGACGACGUCAAGUCAGCAUGGCCUUUAUAUCUAGGGCUACACACACGCUACAAUGGACGGUACAAUGGGUCGCCAAGCUGAAAAGCGGAGCCAAUCCAAGCAAAGACGUUCGCAGUUCGGAUUGUGGGCUGCAACUCGCCCACAUGAAGCUGGAGUUGCUAGUAACCGCGCGUCAGCUAUAGUGCGGUGAAUACGUUCCCGGGCCUUGUACACACCGUAGUAC